ACUACGGGAGGCAGCAGUGGGGAAUAUUGGGCAAUGGGCGCAAGCCUGACCCAGCAACGCCGCGUGAAGGAAGAAGGCUUUCGGGUUGUAAACUUCUUUUCUCAGGGACGAAGCAAGUGACGGUACCUGAGGAAUAAGCCACGGCUAACUACGUGCCAGCAGCCGCGGUAAUACGUAGGUGGCAAGCGUUAUCCGGAUUUACUGGGUGUAAAGGGCGUGUAGGCGGGAAAGCAAGUCAGAUGUGAAAACCAUGGGCUCAACCUGUGGCCUGCAUUUGAAACUGUUUUUCUUGAGUACUGGAGAGGCAGACGGAAUUCCUAGUGUAGCGGUGAAAUGCGUAGAUAGUAGGAGGAACACCAGUGGCGAAGGCGGUCUGCUGGACAGCAACUGACGCUGAGGCGCGAAAGCGUGGGGAGCAAACAGGAUUAGAUACCCUAGUAGUC
rnacentral:rRNA from 1 species